CGUAGGAAAGUGUUAAUGGCACUUAGAGUUUUGGCCUCUAGAGAGAAAAGUCAAAUCUUCUCCUGCGA
rnacentral:tRNA from 1 species